rnacentral:piRNA from 1 species
UCCUCUGUUUGGAAACCCCCCUACCC